CCUCCCUUCGUGAAGGGAAUUGACGGUACUCUACGAAUAAGGAUCGGCUAACUCCGUGCCAGCAGCCGCGGUAAUACGGAGGAUCCAAGCGUUAUCCGGAAUCAUUGGGUUUAAAGGGUCCGUAGGCGGACUAAUAAGUCAGUGGUGAAAGUCUGCAGCUCAACUGUAGAAUUGCCAUUGAUACUGUUAGUCUUGAGUCAUUAUGAAGUGGUUAGAAUGAGUGGUGUAGCGGUGAAAUGCAUAGAUAUCACUCAGAAUACCGAUUGCGAAGGCAGAUCACUAAUAAUGUACUGACGCUGAUGGACGAAAGCGUAGGUAGCGAACAGGAUUAGAUACCCUGGUAGUCUACGCCGUAAACGAUGGUUACUAGCUGUUUGGUCGAUUGAGACUGAGUGGCUAAGCGAAAGUGAUAAGUAACCCACCUGGGGAGUACGUUCGCAAGAAUGAAACUCAAAGGAAUUGACGGGGGCCCGCACAAGCGGUGGAGCAUGUGGUUUAAUUCGAUGAUACGCGAGGAACCUUACCAGGGCUUAAAUGUAGUCUGACAGAUUUGGAAACAGAUUUUUCUUCGGACAGAUUACAAGGUGCUGCAUGGUUGUCGUCAGCUCGUGCCGUGAGGUGUCAGGUUAAGUCCUAUAACGAGCGCAACCCCUGUGGUUAGUUGCCAGCGAGUCAAGUCGGGAACUCUAGCCAGACUGCCGGUGCAAACCGUGAGGAAGGUGGGGAUGACGUCAAAUCAUCACGGCCCUUACGUCCUGGGCCACACACGUGCUACAAUGGUAGGGACAGAGAGCAGCCACUUCGCGAGAAGGAGCGAAUCUUCAAACCCUAUCACAGUUCGGAUCGCAGUCUGCAACUCGACUGCGUGAAGCUGGAAUCGCUAGUAAUCGGAUAUCAGCCAUGAUCCGGUGAAUACGUUCCCGGGCCUUGUACACACCGCCCGUCAAGCCAU
rnacentral:rRNA from 1 species